UGGGGAGUACGGCCGCAAGGAUGAAACUCCAAGGAAAUGACGGGGGCCCGCCCAAACGGGGGAACAUGGGGUUUAAUUCCAAACAACGCGAAAAACCUUACCAGGUCUUGACAUCCUCUGACAACCCUAAAGAUAGGGCUUCUCCCUUCGGGAACAAAAAGACAGGGGGGGCAUGGUUGUCCCCACCUCUCGUCGUGAAAUGUUGGGUUAAAUCCCCCAACAAGAGCACCACCUUUAUCUUAUUUGCCAUCAUUUAGUUGGGCACUCUAAGGGGACUGCCGGGGACAAACCGGAGGAAGGGGGGGAUGACGUCAAAUCAUCAUGCCCCUUAUGACUUGGGCUACACACGUGCUACAAUGGACGGAAAAAAAAACUGCAACACCGCGAGGUGGAGCUAAUCUUCUAAAACCGUUCUCAUUUCGGAUUGUAGGCUGCAACUCCCCUACUUGAAGCUGGAAUCGCUAGUAAUCGCGGGAUCAACCAUGCCGCGGGGGAAUACUUUUCCCGGGCCUUGUAAACACCGCCCGGUCCCACCAGAAGAGUUUGUAACACCCAAACU
rnacentral:rRNA from 1 species